UACGGAGGGUGCAAGCGUUGCUCGGAAUUACUGGGCGUAAAGGGCGUGUAGGCGGUUUCGUAUGUCUGGCGUGAAAGCCCCGGGCUCACCUCGGGAAGUGCGUCGGAAACUGCGAGACUAGAGUCCCGGAGAGGGAGAUGGAAUUCCAGGUGUAGCGGUGAAAUGCGUAGAUAUCUGGAAGAACACCGGUGGCGAAAGCGGCCUCCUGGACGGUGACUGACGCUGAGACGCGAAAGCGUGGGGAGCAAACAGG
rnacentral:rRNA from 1 species